rnacentral:rRNA from 1 species
GUGAGUGAAGAAGGCCCUUGGGUUGUAAAGCUCUUUCGUCGGGGAAGAAAAUGACUGUACCCGAAUAAGAAGGUCCGGCUAACUUCGUGCCAGCAGCCGCGGUAAUACGAAGGGACCUAGCGUAGUUCGGAAUUACUGGGCUUAAAGAGUUCGUAGGUGGUUAAAAAAGUUGGUGGUGAAAUCCCAGAGCUUAACUCUGGAACUGCCAUCAAAACUUUUUAGCUAGAGUAUGAUAGAGGAAAGCAGAAUUUCUAGUGUAGAGGUGAAAUUCGUAGAUAUUAGAAAGAAUACCAAUUGCGAAGGCAGCUUUCUGGAUCAUUACUGACACUGAGGAACGAAAGCAUGGGUAGCGAAGAGGAUUAGAUACCCUCGUAGUCCAUGCCGUAAACGAUGUGUGUUAGACGUUGGAAAUUUAUUUUCAGUGUCGCAGC